rnacentral:rRNA from 1 species
GACAGAGGUGCCGAGCGUUAGGCGGAAUCACUGGGCUUAAAGCGUGUGUAGGCGGAUCUGUAAGUACCUUGUGAAAUCCCACGGCUCAACCGUGGAACUGCUUGGUAUACUGCGGGUCUUGAGCCACCUAGGGGCAAGUGGAACAAACGGUGGAGCGGUGAAAUGCGUAGAUAUCGUUUGGAACGCCAAUGGUGAAACAACUUGCUGGGGUGUGCUGACGCUGGAGACACGAAGCCAGGGGAGCAAACGGG